UAAAAGACAGACUGCAUAUAUUUGACAUAAAUCACAUAAAAACUUGAAAGCAUACAGUGAACUUACACAGCUUGUGAUCCUUUUCCUGAGCACUCAUUACUCUCUAAAUAAUGAGUAACUCUAGGGAGAGGGAGCUUCUUUUAUACAGAGCUCUUGAUAUCCUUUGGGAAAUUAAUCAUCAGAAUCAGCUGGGGGCCAUUUGUAAGCGAGUCAGGUUCAGACUUUGCCUCAGCGUAUGGGGGUACUGUUGGCUUUUGGUGUUCCUGCCUGCUCUGUUCAAGUGCUGUGGGAGUGCACCUACUGACCUACAGAUGUUGUGGGACUGUGUUUUCUGCUCAUCCUCAAGUUCAUCCAAAUGGUACAACAGUUUAGUUGUGUUCAUAAUGAUGAACACAUUCUGCAUUACAACCAAAGAUAUAUCUCAUGCUGUGCUAUAAGAGAUAACAAGAAGCUUGAUGUCACCAAGGGAAUGAAUGGAAAGGUGUUAUGGUAAAAUGGAGGAGAAAUAUUGAACCGGCUUCGUGUGGCAAAGAAAAUAGGAGGAGGAGGACAGCAGAUGUGAGCAUCUCUGAACCAGGAAGUUCUCAAGGCGCAUUUCCAUCUUGAAGAUGUGCCAGGACAGAUAAGAGCACACGACACAACAAGAAAACUUAUUGGAGAGGCAAGAUUGCUUGUUUUUAAUCCCGUGAUAAAACAAAGGUUGCCGUUGCAUUUUGCAUCUGCAGAUCUAGUCCCCAGUACCUUCGUUAGCCCCAGUUUCGAGGUCUGAGUUGCGACGCUUUGUAUUUUCGAUCGGACGCCAAUUUAUUUUUGACCCGUUCUUACUCAUUAUAGCCGAUAGAUGGCAGCAAAUGACCACAGAUCUUCCGUUCCUAUCGUAGCCUGCUCCUCCUCGAUAGCUUUAUGUGGAAUUUUCCUAUUUGAAACCGAAACGGUGCUGAUUCCGCAGUAGCAGAACGCAGUACGAGGCAGCAGACCCGAUUUAACAUGUUAGAGCGUUAAGGCCAGUGAUGGAACUGUCUGUUGCGUUCCUGUUUCCAGCGAUGCCGGUGUGACCCGUUGUUCUGUGCCGAGCUGCACGCUUGUUUCUGCAGCUACCUGAGACAUCUUGGAAAAGCACUUUCUUGAGCGCUGAUCUACUUGCAAUUUCCCUGUAGUCUUUACACCAAAACACGUAAACAACUCAGGUUGUGGUGCUCUAC
ensembl:lncRNA